rnacentral:rRNA from 1 species
AUUGAACGCUGGCGGCAUGCCUUACACAUGCAAGUCGAACGGCAGCACGGGUGCUUGCCCCUGGUGGCGAGUGGCGAACGGGUGAGUAAUACAUCGGAACAUGUCCUGUAGUGGGGGAUAGCCCGGCGAAAGCCGGAUUAAUACCGCAUACGAUCUACGGAUGAAAGCGGGGGACCUUCGGGCCUCGCGCUUUAGGGUUGGCCGAUGGCUGAUUAGCUAGUUGGUGGGGUAAAGGCCUACCAAGGCGACGAUCAGUAGCUGGUCUGAGAGGACGACCAGCCACACUGGGACUGAGACACGGCCCAGACUCCUACGGGAGGCAGCAGUGGGGAAUUUUGGACAAUGGGCGAAAGCCUGAUCCAGCAAUGCCGCGUGUGUGAAGAAGGCCUUCGGGUUGUAAAGCACUUUUGUCCGGAAAGAAAUACUUGGCCCUAAUACGGUCGGGGGAUGACGGUACCGGAAGAAUAAGCACCGGCUAACUACGUG